rnacentral:rRNA from 1 species
AUGGUGAAGAUAGUGACGUACAACGUGAACGGGCUGCGGCCGCGGGUGGCGCAGCACGGCUCGCUCCGCCGCCUCCUCGACUCGCUCGACGCUGACAUCAUCUGCUUCCAGGAGACCAAAUUGUCGAGGCAGGACUUGUCUGGGGAUGUCAUAAUGGCCGAGGGAUACGAGGCUUUCAUUUCGUGCAAUCGUUCUUCGAGAGGGCGUGGACCAUACUCUGGUGUUGCAACGUUUUGCCGGGUGACAUCAGCAUUUGCCAGUCAGGAGGUUGCUUUGCCGGUAGCAGCUGAAGAAGGCUUUGCUGGAUUACAGGGCUCUGCAAAGGACAAUGAAGUUAUUGGGGAUUUUGUUCUUGAUAUGCCUAUGGAUGAGGAAGAUCUUGGCGAAAUAACAAGAGAGGAGCUGCUCAGGGUGGACAAUGAGGGGCGAUGUAUCAUCACUGACCAUGGACAUUUUGUUCUUUUCAAUAUAUAUGGCCCAUCUAUUGGAGAAGAUGAUGAAGAACGGGUUCGUUUUAAGCUACUGUUUUACAAGAUAUUGCAGAAACGAUGGGAAUUUCUACUGGCUCUCGGAAAGAGAGUCUUCGUUGUUGGAGAUUUGAAUAUUGCUCCUAGUUCGAUAGAUAGGUGUGACGCAUCUCCUGGAUUUGAGAAGCAAAUGUUUCGGGAGUGGCUGAGAUCCAUGUUAAGAGAACAUGGAGGUCCCUUUUUUGACGCUUUCAGAUCAAAGCACCCUGAAAGGACGGGAGCUUAUACUUGCUUUAAUCAAAAAGUUGGAGCUGAAGAAUACAAUUACGGUUCUAGAAUAGACCACAUUCUCAUUUCUGGUGCCUGUUUUCAUGACUGCAAUUCGGUGGAAGAUCAUAGCAUUUUCCAUUGCCAUGUUGAGGAUUGUGAGAUAAUGAAUCAUUUCAGAAGAGGGGAUUCAGGAAAUAUCUCAAAGUGGAAAGGAGGGAGAAGUAGUAAGCUAGAAGGGUCUGAUCAUAUUCCAGUUUAUAUGAUACUGAAUGGAAUACCUGAACUUCCUGCCCAUAAUACCCCACCAUCAGCUGCAAGAUAUCUCCCAGAAAUCCGUGGGCGGCAACAAAGUAUAGUAUCAUUCCUCAGUAAAGGAAAAUUGUGCGAAGCUGAAGAUGGCCCAGGUUUAGACAUAUCCAGGGAUAGAGAAAACCAAAGCUGCUGUAGUGAUGACCUGGAAAGGAGAAGCAUAUCCAAGGAAGAAUUAGCAACUGGUAUAACCGAGUUUUGUAAAGGUGUUAACCAACCUAGUCCGACGUCUAAGCGGAGGAAUCUUGAUCAUUGGAUAAAUGAAGGUUCAAGUGGCAGCUCCCAAAAUAGCAAUGUAACAUUAGUAGCAGCACAAGGUAUGAAAACUUCCUUUUCUGGUGUCAAGUCUGUGUCAAACAAGAAAAACAAGCAUAACUUAUCCUCACAGCCAACAAUCAAGUCAUUUUUUCGAAGACCAAAAACAAAGCCAGGGGAUGCCAAUAUCAAUAGCUUAGCUAGUUCAGUAGAUACAGUACCUAAGAUGGAUGAAUUAUGUUCUCCAAAAGAUGAUCGUCUGGAAGAAAACAUCCAGUGUACAGCUGCAGCUGACGGAGAUCCGGAUAACUCAAACAUAUCAUCUUCACUUUCAACUGAUAAAUGCAAUAUUGCAACAUUGGAGUGGCAAAGAAUACAACAGAGAAUGAAGAUGACCCUACCACUUUGCAAAGGACACCGUGAACCUUGCAUUCCAAGGUCUGUGAAGAAGGGCUCCAAUAUCGGUCGCUUAUUCUAUGUCUGUGCCCGUGCUCAGGGACCUUCAUCAAAUCCAGAAGCGAACUGCAAUCACUUUCAAUGGGCCUCUGUAAAAUCUAAAGGGAAGCGGCAAUGA